GAAACUAACAAGGAUUCCCCUAGUAGCGGCGAGCGAAGCGGGAAGAGCUCAAAUUUAUAAUCUGGCACCUUCGGUGUCCGAGUUGUAAUCUCUAGAAGUGUUUUCCGCGUUGGACCGCACACAAGUCUGUUGGAAUACAGCGGCAUAGUGGUGAAACCCCCGUAUAUGGUGCGGACGCCCAGCGCUUUGUGAUACACUUUCAAUGAGUCGAGUUGUUUGGGAAUGCAGCUCAAAUUGGGUGGUAAAUUCCAUCUAAAGCUAAAUAUUGGCGAGAGACCGAUAGCGAACAAGUACCGUGAGGGAAAGAUGAAAAGCACUUUGGAAAGAGAGUUAACAGUACGUGAAAUUGUUGGAAGGGAAACGCUUGAAGUCAGACUUGCUUGCCGGAGCUUGCUUCGGUUUGCAGGCCAGCAUCAGUUUUCCGGGGUGGAUAAUGACGGUUUGAAGGUAGCAGUCUCGGCUGUGUUAUAGCUUUCCGUUGGAUACAUCCUGGGGGACUGAGGAACGCAGCGUGCUUUUUGCGAAAGACUCGUCUUUUUCACGCUU
rnacentral:rRNA from 1 species